GCUGGCUAUAUACCAUCUUCGCGGUUGAAUUGGUUUUAAUCAUAGAGCUGAAGGAUUUAAUAGAAUUGAAAUCUUGUUAUUGUGAAAUAAAUAAAAAUAAUAAUAAUAAAAAAGAUUUUGAGAAUUUUCUUUUGAAGAACUUGAGGAUUUUGCUGAAGGUCUCUGUAUUUUCUAUCAAAAUUUGAAGUAAUUACGAAUAUUAACAUUGAACGGACUUCCAAUGUAUAUGCAAAUCAGGGCAUUUUUAAAAAUAUAUAAUGUGAUUACAUUUAUAUGAAAUGUUAUGGUGCUCAAAAUUCUCAUAUUGUCUCCAAUGUUGUUUUUAAUUAAAAUGGGAAUAGUGAUAGCACCAAAGAAUUUUUAAACCUUGUAUCUUAUGGAAAAAUUAUUUAGCAAUUUCAUAAAAUUGUUGAAAACUAUUUUUUUUAUAACAGAUCGAAGGAUUCUGCUUGGUGUCUCAAUAUAAUGUCUUCAUGGACAUCUUUUGAAAUAGAGUUUGUUACCAGGAUUCCCUGAAACUUUUUUGUAUAUUGUACUAUAAAGGUCUUAUCUUUUAUUCCCCCCCCCAACAUAUUAUUGUGAACCUUUGAGAAGUCCGGAAAUGAUUCACAUUACAUUUGCGGUGAACAAUAGUUACAAAAUAUUGAUCUUUGGAAGAAAUCUAUUAUGAGAAUAGGUGUUUUGAAUCCUUUUUUUGCUAGCUGAUUGACACCAAAAUUUGAUACAAAGUUGAAUUGUAGUCGUAAGAUAACAUAUUAAAUUUCAUUUAUUUCUGCCAGUAUUUUAUGUUAUUGCGUUUACGUGAGUACGAAAAUACAGACCAACAGAUGUUCAAUUGUUUGAAGGAUUUAGUUCAAAAUUUAAUAUUAGAUAUAAAAUUAUAUUUUAGAUGUUAAAUCUGCAUACCAAAUUUUAUCUGCCUAGCUUUUUGUGUUUUGUAGUUAUCAAGUUCACUUGUGAUCGAAUAGGCAGACUACCUAUGAAUGGAUUUUGUUAGAAGUUUGACAGAAAUUUACGAAUUUGGUCAAUUAGCCUGUGAAAUUUUUGAGCCAUUUUUCAGGACUAUUAAACUGAAACUGAAAGAAGGCUUUAAAACAAAAUUAAUCUUAAUAAAUGACACAAAUUUAUUUUUCAAUGAAUGGGCAAACAUAUUUCAAGAUCAUGCCAAACAUAUAUAGUUUAUAUGGCAUGUUUUACAAAACUGGCAUUCUAAUUUAAAAGGAAAAGUUAAAGAUGAGACUUUAAGACUUAAAAUGAAAAAUGAUAUGGAACUAUUUUUACAUGAAUUAGAUGUUGCAAUGUUUGAAAAAUAUUUAAAAGAAUUUACUAUUAAAUAUGAAGUAGCUGCUUUUUAAAAAUAUUUUGACAAACAUUACAGGCACAGACAGUUAAAGUAUGAAGAAACAGGUGGGACAAUAAUGAAACGGUUAGAUAAAGCAAUUCAUGUUCUGAAAGCUAUUACAAAGAAACUCCUGCGGAAAAUAAUGGCAAUUGAAAGAGGUAAAUUAACACAGAGAACUAGCUUGGUUAGGAAAAAGCACCUUGUUGGUCAAAAAUUGGAUGAUAAGGUCUAUCGUCAAGGUGAAAGAAAAUUAAUGGAUAGUAGCCAACUCAUUAAUGUCAUCCAGUGGGUCAUCCAUAUUCACUUAUAUCAGCAUAGGUAAUGAAGAUUGCAAAUAUAUGUGAUAUAAUGUGUUCACAUUGUGCGAUGUGUUUUCCAGCGUUAACUUGCAUCUGUGUUGAUUAUAAUAUCAGGUAUGUUAUAUGAAAGCAUAUUAAUUUUUUUCGGUAAAGAAAUUAACGUUUUUACUAAGACUAAUGUUGCUAGUACCUGCUCAAAUGCAGGUGAUGGUAAUGAAAGAGAACUUGUCAUUACUGUAAUGAUCAUAAAGAUUCCCAAUCGUUUGAAAAGUCUGCCAUUGUCAAUCAACUACAGAGAAAGUCAAGAACUGACAUUAGUGCUCAAAAGUCUUCAUUAAUUUUAAAAUUUCAUAAUAUUGGUAAUCAAAUACCAGCACUGGAAACUUUGGAAGACUUAGAUGGUGCAGCUGAAUUUAUUAAAACUUUGGAUAUGUACUUACAAACAAUUUCAUCUAAGUGUUCAUUACCAUCCUUAUCUGAUGAAGUAAAAAAAUAUACCCUUUAAUAAGGUAAGUGGUUCUUAAAGGAAAUUUACCAUUAAAAAACAUGCACAUAAAUAAUCCUUUUGACUAUGUAUUUUUAAAAAUAGUUUCUUAUUUAAUAAAAGCAAUUUCUAAAAAUUUUUUUUCUAACAUUAAGUUCUCAAUUAAAUAUUUGAAGUUAUUUAAAUUUAGGCCAAAACUAAGUAAAAGUUGUGUUUAAAAUGCUUUAAAAAUAUAUAAUCUGUAUUUAUUAGCUUAUUAUAUAUAAUUCAUAAUACAGGAAAUGCUUCUGCCAUUAGAAAAAUCAAAAUUCAAUUAUAAUGUUUCUUUAUUACAUAUUAAGCCAGUACUUAUAAUGAAUAUUCUUAUUCCACCCAAUUAUCAUACAAUUAAAAAGAGCCAAUAUUCCUAUUUCUGCAUAAUAUGAUUAUUUAGUUUAUAUGAUA